AAACUUACCUGAUGCUGGGACCGCCGACGAUCCCGAAGGUUGGCUCCCCGGACUGAGGCCUCCAUUGCACUGCGGGGGCUGACGUCCGCCUCAUUCCUCAAAAAGGGGAUUGAUGGAGCAUCAAAUUUUUGGUAGUGGGGAGGCUAGGCGUGCGCGCCCCUCCCUC